rnacentral:lncRNA from 1 species
GUGAAACAGUGAGAGGAGAUUGGAAAAGAAUGCAGAAAUGCAUAGAGGAACUUAUGUGCAUGUCACAGCCACUAUUAAGCUAAGAGCAUCUUACUUCAUCUGCUUCUUGUCAUCAGGUUUCAAUAAUUCUCCAAAGACGAGUAUCUCAUUUGCAUCUUAUAGGGCAAAAGAGCACAUGAGUUCUUGCAAUACAAGUGAUAUUUUACAGCAAGCCUUUUUCUUCUGGGCCAGAAUACAAGCUUUAAUUGAAGAUCAG